CAAAUAGACUGGAAGAAAGGAAAUUUAGUUUAAGGAUAGGAAUUUUUACAAUAAGAACAAAAAUGAUGUGGAAUUCUAUGCCUAAAGAGGUGGUUUUAUCAGAGUCUGUUCAGAUAUUUAAACAGCAAAUGGAUGAAUACCUUCAAAAAUCUAAUAUUGCGGGAUAUCAUUUUUAAUGUGGGGUAACAACUUCUUGAUCCGGGGAGAGAUCUGACUGUCAUUUUUGAGUUGAGAAAUAGUUUUUUACUAGUUUGUUGCAAAAUUGGAAAGAGCAUCAAACUGAUGGAUGCAUGUUUCUUUUUCAGUCUGUAUAACUACCUAACUAUGUAAC